GACGAACGCUGGCGGCGUGCUUAACACAUGCAAGUCGAACGGAAAGGCCCUGCUUUUGUGGGGUGCUCGAGUGGCGAACGGGUGAGUAACACGUGAGUAACCUGCACUUGACUUUGGGAUAACUUCAGGAAACUGGGGCGAAUACCGGAUAGGAGCUCCUGCUGCAUGGGGGGGGUUGGAAAGUUUCGGCGGUUGGGGAUGGACUCGCGGCUUAUCAGCUUGUUGGUGGGGUAGUGGCUUACCAGGGGUUUGAAGGGUAGGCGGCCUGGGAGGGUGACCGGCCACAUGGGGACUGAGAUACGGACCAGACUCCUACGGGAGGCAGCAGUGGGGAGUAUUGCACAAUGGGCGGGAGCCUGAUGCAGCGGCGCCGGGUGCGGGAUGACGGCCUUCGGGUUGUAAACCGCUUUCGCCUGUGACGAAGCGUGAGUGACGGUAAUGGGUAAAGAAGCACCGGCUAACUACGUG
rnacentral:rRNA from 1 species